rnacentral:rRNA from 2 species
GGACUACUGGGGUAUCUAAUCCUGUUUGCUCCCCACGCUUUCGUGCCUGAGCGUCAAUCUCGGCCCAGGGGGCUGCCUUCGCCAUCGGUGUUCCGCCACAUCUCUACGCAUUUCACUGCUACACGUGGCAUUCCACCCCCCUCUGCCGGAUUCAAGUCCCAUAGUUUCCACUGCCAUUCCCAGGUUAAGCCCGGGGCUUUCACAGCGGACUUGCGGGACCGCCUACGCACGCUUUACGCCCAGUAAUUCCGAUUAACGCUCGCACCCUACGUAUUACCGCGGCUGCUGGCAC